UACGUAGGCAGCAAGCGUUGUUCGGAUUUAUUGGGCGUAAAGAGCGUGUAGGCGGCCAGACAGGUCCGUUGUGAAAACUCGAGGCUCAACCUCGAGACGUCGACGGAAACCGUCUGGCUAGAGUCCGGAAGAGGAGUGUGGAAUUCCUGGUGUAGCGGUGAAAUGCGCAGAUAUCAGGAAGAACACCUAUGGCGAAGGCAGCACUCUGGGACGGUACUGACGCUGAGACGCGAAAGCGUGGGGAGCGAACAGG
rnacentral:rRNA from 1 species